GCCUCCGUGGUGUAGUUGGUUAUCACGUGAGUCUCAUAUUUACGUCCUUUCAACAAUAUGAUAGGUUAGCAUCCUAAACUACCUAGCGAUCUCAAGGUCGCCAGUUCGAUCCUGGCCGGGGGCA